UGUCAGAAGCUUGCAGCAAAAUACUAUGGGCCAUUUCCGGUGUUGGAGCGAGUAGGUGAAGUGGCUUAUAGGCUACAACUUCCUUCAGAAAGUAGAAUCCAUUAUGUCUUUCAUGUUUCCUAGUUGAAACUGGUUUUGGGGAAGGAGCAUGAAGUUUCACCAUUACCGGUAAUUCUGGAGGAGUCGGAGGAGUUUGUCUUAAAGCCAGAACAUAUACAGAUCACUCGUUAUGAUGCUGAAGGUCAUCUUGAGGCUCUGGUUCAUUGGAAGGGCUUGCCUGACCAUGAGGAUGCAUGGCUUCGGGUGAAAGACAUUGCUCGAGAGUACCCAUCCUUUGAGCUUGAGGACAAGCUCUCUCUCACCGAAGGGGG
rnacentral:lncRNA from 1 species